rnacentral:rRNA from 1 species
AGACGUCUACAUUAGAUACCCGCGUAGUCCAGGGUGUAAACGCUGCAGACUUGGUGUUGGGAACCCUUCGGGGGUGUCCAGUGCCGGAGAGAAGUUGUUAAGUCUGCUACUUGGGGAGUACGUCCGCAAGGAUGAAACUUAAAGGAAUUGGCGGGGGAGCACCGCAACGGGAGGAGCGUGCGGUUUAAUUGGAUUCAACACCGUAAAACUCACCAGGGAAGACUGUUACAUGAAGGCCGAGAUGAAGACUCUGCUAGAUUUUCAG